CGGCAGGCCUAACACAUGCAAGUCGAGCGCAGUCCUUCGGGACCGAGCGGCGGACGGGUUAGUAACGCGUGGGAACAUACCCUUUUCUACGGAAUAGCCUCGGGAAACUGAGAGUAAUACCGUAUAAGCCCUUCGGGGGAAAGAUUUAUCGGGAAAGGAUUGGCCCGCGUUAGAUUAGAUAGUUGGUGGGGUAAUGGCCUACCAAGUCUACGAUCUAUAGCUGGUUUUAGAGGAUGAUCAGCAACACUGGGACUGAGACACGGCCCAGACUCCUACGGGAGGCAGCAGUGGGGAAUCUUAGACAAUGGGCGCAAGCCUGAUCUAGCCAUGCCGCGUGUGUGAUGAAGGUCUUAGGAUCGUAAAGCACUUUCGCCAGGGAUGAUAAUGACAGUACCUGGUAAAGAAACCCCGGCUAACUCCGUGCCAGCAGCCGCGGUAAUACGGAGGGGGUUAGCGUUGUUCGGAAUUACUGGGCGUAAAGCGUACGUAGGCGGAUCAGAAAGUAGGGGGUGAAAUCCCAGGGCUCAACCCUGGAACUGCCUCCUAAACUCCUGGUCUUGAGUUCGAGAGAGGUGAGUGGAAUUCCAAGUGUAGAGGUGAAAUUCGUAGAUAUUUGGAGGAACACCAGUGGCGAAGGCGGCUCACUGGCUCGAUACUGACGCUGAGGUACGAAAGUGUGGGGAGCAAACAGGAUUAGAUACCCUGGUAGUCCACACCGUAAACGAUGAAUGCCAGUCGUCGGGCAGUAUACUGUUCGGUGACACACCUAACGGAUUAAGCAUCCG
rnacentral:rRNA from 1 species